AUAACAGCUCUUUUCAGAGCUACAUACAUGUUCAGUAAUAAACAA
rfam:Strongylocentrotus purpuratus Contig97235_fixed, whole genome shotgun sequence.